rnacentral:rRNA from 1 species
UACGUAGGGGGCAAGCGUUGUCCGGAUUUAUUGGGCGUAAAGAGCGUGUAGGCGGCUUUGCAAGUCCGUUGUGAAACUCGAGGCUCAACCUCGAGACGCCGGUGGAACUGCAAAGCUAGAGUCCGGAAGAGGAGAGUGGAAUUCCUGGUGUAGCGGUGAAAUGCGCAGAUAUCAGGAAGAACACCCGUGGCGAAGGCGGCUCUCUGGGACGGUACUGACGCGAGACGCGAACGUGGGAGCGAACAGG